rnacentral:rRNA from 1 species
ACGCUCGACACCUACGGGAUGCAGCAGUGGGGAAUAUUGCACAAUGGGGGAAACCCUGAUGCAGCGACGCCGCGUGAGCGAAGAAGUAUUUCGGUAUGUAAAGCUCUAUCAGCAGGGAAGAAACUGACGGUACCUGACUAAGAAGCACCGGCUAAAUACGUGCUAGCAGCCGCGGUAAUCUGAGCGGGCUGGCAAGGC